rnacentral:rRNA from 1 species
AGCAGCCGCGGUAAUUCCAGCUCCAAUAGCGUAUAUUAAAGUUGUUGCAGUUAAAAAGCUCGUAGUUGAAUUUCGGGAUUGACACAUCGGUCGUGCCUUAAGGGGUAUGAACUGGUGUAGUCAAUUUCUCACCUUCUGGAAAACCGCGAUGCCCUUAAUUGGGUGUCGCGGGGAACCAGGACCUUUACUUUGAAAAAAUUAGAGUGUUUAAAGCAGGCAUUUUGCUUGAAUACAUUAGCAUGGAAUAAUAAAAUAGGACGGCAUGAUUCUAUUUUGUUGGUUUCUAGGACCACCGUAAUGAUUAAUAGGGAUAGUUGGGGGCAUUAGUAUUCAAUUGUCAGAGGUGAAAUUCUUGGAUUUAUUGAAGACUAACUACUGCGAAAGCAUUUGCCAAGGAUGUUUUCAUUAAUCAAGACCGAAAGUUAGGGGAUCGAAGACGAUCAGAUACCGUCGUAGUCUUAACCAUAAACUAUGCCGACUAGGAAUCAGACGAUGUUAAUUUUUUAAUGACUCGUUUGGCACCUUACGG